UACGUAGGGUGCAAGCGUUGUCCGGAAUUAUUGGGCGUAAAGAGCUUGUAGGCGGUUUGUCGCGUCUGCUGUGAAAUUUCGGGGCUCAACCCCGAACUUGCAGUGGGUACGGGCAGACUAGAGUGUGGUAGGGGAGACUGGAAUUCCUGGUGUAGCGGUGAAAUGCGCAGAUAUCAGGAGGAACACCGGUGGCGAAGGCGGGUCUCUGGGCCAUAACUGACGCUGGAGGAGCGAAAGCGUGGGGAGCGAACAGG
rnacentral:rRNA from 1 species